AUAGCGUAUAUUAAAGUUGUUGCAGUUAAAACGUUCGUAGUUGAACUUGUGUUCCGCACAGGCAGUGCCUACGACUAGGUCACUAGUUCGGUACUUUGUCUUUUCACAUUCGUGGAAAAAGUGCGUGGACGUAUUAUCGGCGUGUUCAUCUUUCGGGAUGUUCACUUAAGCUCAUUUCAGUGCUCUUCAUCGAGUGUUGUUGUGAGCCGAUACAAAUUACUUUGAACAAAUUAGAGUGCUUAAAGCAGGCUUAAAAUGCCUGAAUAUUUUGUGCAUGGAAUAAUGUAAUAGGACAUCUGUUCUACUUUCAUUGGUUUUUUAGAUCAAGAUGUAAUGAUUAAUGGAGGCAAUUGGGGGCAUUAGUAUUACAACGCGAGAGGUGAAAUUCUUAGACCGUAGUAAGACUAA
rnacentral:rRNA from 1 species